rfam:Bacillus sp. FJAT-27916 Scaffold1, whole genome shotgun sequence.
GGAUUCCCGCCGAGUAAGAACUAGCCAUUCGCUCGUAGCGAGUCUUGGAGGGGCAAAGGUAACUUUGGUCUUUAAGCGUAGACAGUUAGGUGGCGGGCCGAAAGCCAAAUGGUUGAAGGGAUUGAGCUCCAUAAACGUUUGUAAACCGAGAGGGCUGAUGCCUUAACUGCGUGUAGAAAGCAAUAUUUUAUCUUUUGUUAUAGGCGAGAAAGAUAAAACCUCUCUGGAGUCAGAGACCU